CCUACGGGGGGCAGCAGUGGGGAAUAUUGGACAAUGGGGGGAACCCUGAUCCAGCGACGCCGCGUGAGUGAAGAAGUAUUUCGGUAUGUAAAGCUCUAUCAGCAGGGAAGAAAAUGACGGUACCUGACUAAGAAGCCCCGGCUAACUACGUGCCAGCAGCCGCGGUAAUACGUAGGGGGCAAGCGUUAUCCGGAUUUACUGGGUGUAAAGGGAGCGUAGACGGUGCAGCAAGUCUGAUGUGAAAGGUCGGGGCUUAACCCCGGAACUGCUUUGGAAACUGUGCAGCUAGAGUGCAGGAGAGGUAAGUGGAAUUCCUAGUGUAGCGGUGAAAUGCGUAGAUAUUAGGAGGAACACCAGUGGCGAAGGCGGCUUACUGGACUGUAACUGACGUUGAGGCUCGAAAGCGUGGGGAGCAAACAGGAUUAGAUACCCGAGUAGUC
rnacentral:rRNA from 1 species